rnacentral:misc_RNA from 1 species
GAAAUGCGAUAAGUAAUGUGAAUUGCAGAAUUCAGUGAAUCAUCGAAUCUUUGAACGCACCUUGCGCUCCUUGGUAUUCCUUGGAGCAUGCCUGUUUGAGUAUCAUGAAAUCUUCAAAGUAAAUCUUUUGUUAACUCAAUUGGUUUCUACUUUGGUAUUGGAGGUCUUUGCAGCUUCACACCUGCUCCUCUUUGUUCAUUAGCUGGAUCUCAGUGUUAUGCUUGGUUCCACUCGGCGUGAUAAGUUAUCUAUCGCUGAGGACACUGUAAAAGGUGGCCAAGGUAAAUGCAGAUGAACCGCUUCUAAUAGUCCAUUGAAUUAGAAAAUACUUUUAUGAUCUGAUCUCAAAUCAGGUAGGACUACCCGCUGAACUUAAGC